CGAACGCUGGCGGCGUGCCUAACACAUGCAAGUCGAACGGGUCCCGAGGGCCCGCAAGGGCUAUCGGGAUUACGUGGCGGACGGGUGAGUAACGCGUGGGUAACCUGCCCGUGAGUGAGGCAUAACCCCGGGAAACUGGGGCUAAUACCUUAUACGGUCCUGGUUCCGCACUGCGGGAUCGGGAGGAAAGCUCCGAAGCAAUUCGGGGCGCUCGCGGAGGGGCCCGCGUCCGAUCAGCUUGUUGGUGAGGUAACGGCUCACCAAGGCGGAGACCGGUAGCCGGCCUGAGAGGGUGUUCGGCCACACUGGGACUGAGACACGGCCCAGACUCCUACGGGAGGCAGCAGUGAGGAAUAUUGCGCAAUGGGGGAAACCCUGACGCAGCGACGCCGCGUGGAGGAUGACGCCCUUCGGGGUGUAAACUCCUUUCGACCCGGACGAAACCCCGCAAGGGAUUGACGGUACGGGUAGAAGAAGCCCCGGCUAACUACGUGCCAGCAGCCGCGGUAAUACGUAGGGGGCGAGCGUUGCUCGGAAUUACUGGGCGUAAAGGGUCCGUAGGCGGCUUGGUAGGUCCGUCGUGAAAUCCCCGGGCUCAACCCGGGGUGGUCGACGGAAACGGCCGAGCUGGAGGGCGGAGAGGUGCGUGGAAUUGCGGGUGUAGCGGUGAAAUGCGUAGAGAUCCGCAGGAACACGGCGGCGAGGGCGGCGCACUGGACGGCUCCUGACGCUGAGGGACGAAAGCUGGGGGAGCAAACAGGAUUAGAUACCCUGGUAGUCCCAGCCUUAAACGAUGGUCACUGGGUGUGCCCCGCGUAGGUGGGGCGUGCCGACGCUAACGCAUGAAGUGACCCGCCUGGGGAGUACGGUCGCAAGACUGAAACUCAAAGGAAUUGACGGGGGCCCGCACAAGCGGUGGAGCAUGUGGUUCAAUUCGACGCAACGCGAAGAACCUUACCUGGGCUUGAAGAGCGUCGGACCAGUCCCGGAAACGGGACCUUCCCGCAAGGGACCGGCGCAGAGGUGCUGCAUGGCUGUCGUCAGCUCGUGUCGUGAGAUGUUGGGUUAAGUCCCGCAACGAGCGCAACCCUUGCUCGUAGUUGCUAACGGUUCGGCCGAGCUCUCUACGAGGACUGCCCCGGACAACGGGGAGGAAGGUGGGGAUGACGUCAAGUCAGCAUGGCCUUUAUGUCCAGGGCUACACACGUGCUACAAUGCGCGCUACAACGGGUUGCCAACUCGCAAGAGGGAGCCAAUCCCGAAAAAGCGCGCUCAGUUCGGAUUGCCGUCUGCAACUCGACGGCAUGAAGCUGGAAUCGCUAGUAAUGGUGCAUCAGCACGGCGCCGUGAAUACGUUCCCGGGCCUUGUACACACCG
rnacentral:rRNA from 1 species